rnacentral:rRNA from 1 species
GGGAUAACAGUUGGAAACGACUGCUAAUACCGCAUAAGCGCACAGGAUCGCAUGAUCUGGUGUGAAAAACUCCGGUGGUAUGAGAUGGACCCGCGUCUGAUUAGCCAGUUGGCAGGGUAACGGCCUACCAAAGCGACGAUCAGUAGCCGACCUGAGAGGGUGACCGGCCACAUUGGGACUGAGACACGGCCCAAACUCCUACGGGAGGCAGCAGUGGGGAAUAUUGCACAAUGGGGGAAACCCUGAUGCAGCGACGCCGCGUGAGCGAAGAAGUAUUUCGGUAUGUAAAGCUCUAUCAGCAGGGAAGAAGAAUGACGGUACCUGACUAAGAAGCACCGGCUAAAUACGUGCCAGCAGCCGCGGUAAUACGUAUGGUGCAAGCGUUAUCCGGAUUUACUGGGUGUAAAGGGAGCGCAGGCGGUGCGGCAAGUCUGAUGUGAAAGCCCGGGGCUCAACCCCGGUACUGCAUUGGAAACUGUCGUACUAGAGUGUCGGAGGGGUAAGUGGAAUUCCUAGUGUAGCGGUGAAAUGCGUAGAUAUUAGGAGGAACACCAGUGGCGAAGGCGGCUUACUGGACUGUAACUGACGCUGAGGCUCGAAAGCGUGGGGAGCAAACAGGAUUAGAUACCCUGGUAGUCCACGCCGUAA